rnacentral:rRNA from 1 species
CCUACGGGUGGCAGCAGUGGGGAAUCUUCCGCAAUGGGCGAAAGCCUGACGGAGCAACGCCGCGUGAGUGAUGACGGCCUUCGGGUUGUAAAACUCUGUGAUCCGGGACGAAAAGGCAGAGUGCGAAGAACAAACUGCAUUGACGGUACCGGAAAAGCAAGCCACGGCUAACUACGUGCCAGCAGCCGCGGUAAUACGUAGGUGGCAAGCGUUGUCCGGAAUUAUUGGGCGUAAAGCGCGCGCAGGCGGCUUCCCAAGUCCCUCUUAAAAGUGCGGGGCUUAACCCCGUGAUGGGAAGGAAACUGGGAAGCUGGAGUAUCGGAGAGGAAAGUGGAAUUCCUAGUGUAGCGGUGAAAUGCGUAGAGAUUAGGAAGAACACCGGUGGCGAAGGCGACUUUCUGGACGAAAACUGACGCUGAGGCGCGAAAGCGUGGGGAGCAAACAGGAUUAGAUACCCUUGUAGUC